rnacentral:lncRNA from 1 species
UUUUUUUUAAGAAAACAUAUUUGAUUUUUCAUACUUUGACGAUAACUUUUAAUAGACAGAGAUUUCAUUGAAAAAAAAGAAUGAUAUUUAUAAAGAACACUUAGGAUCAAAGCCUGUACUUUAAAGUUAUAUUUUUAUUGUGCAUCCCUGAAAAUAACAGUUUGACUGUAACCUGAAAUUACAUGAAUUUUACAUUUUUUUCAAAUAUCUUGAAAAUUAUAUAUUUGAUUAUCUGUUAUUUUUCCUAUGCCACCUUACUACAGCUGAACACUUUUUUCAGUCGUAACAGUAACAAGUAAAACAAUGUAGAUAUCUCUACAAUAUUAAUAAACAAUGAUCGUCAAAUUAUGUCUUUUUAAGACCUAUUUGACAGUAAUGAAGUUUUAUUUUUCGAAUAACUAGUUUCUUAGCUUAAUUAUGAAAGUAAAAUAUUCAAUAUACCAAUUUCAUGGCCUAACUUACCUUAUUGCAAAUUCGUUUGAUUUUACUCCCUUUCGUCAUUUAAAAAAAAUGUUUUUCCCCAUUUAGGUACCUAGAUACUGUCAUAUUCGUUUAAUUGCAGACAUUUAACCUUUUGAUCACAGAAAUUAUGUUUAUUCACUCAUUAUGUUUACUACUUUUUCAUUAUUUACCAUUUGUAUUUUAUAUUUUGAAGAACUUCAAAGGAUUUAUCAAAAAGAUGCUAUUGGAUAUCUGCCAGAAAAAGAAAACAAUGAAACGGAAACAAGUCACGAUUAUCGAAAAGAGGCAAUGUCUUAUACAAUUGAUAUUGUUCUAUGUUCAAGACCAGCUUGUUUUAAAGUAAUAAAAGGAGUUAAAAAAUGGAAUAGAG